ensembl:snoRNA
GGUCGGUGAAAGCAUGGCACAGGUUAGCUGAAUCCAAAGUUGAUUUAAUUCUAAAAUUAUACAAAAACCUU